CGGUGAUAUAAUUAAACGGCUGCAGUACUCUGACUGUGCAAAGGUAGCAUGAUCAAUUGUCUGGUAAUUCCAGUCUGGUAUGAAUGGUUAGACGAUAGGAACGCUGUCUUUUUCUCUUUUGUUGAAAUUGACUACCAGGUGCGGAGGCCUGGAUUGGAGAGUGGGACGAGAAGACCCUAAUAGGUAAAGUUAAAGCUCUAUAGGGUCUUCUUAUCCUACUCUCCAAUCUAGGGCCAACUAUUCUUAUUAUUAAACAUCUAAAGUAAUAUAGAAAGUGUAACUUGUGUGUAACCUAAAUUACCAGGUUAGAAAAAGUUACAGUCAAUGGGUCAUCGUAAUAUUUCUCGUCAGAGUUCUUAUUAA
rnacentral:rRNA from 1 species